rnacentral:rRNA from 1 species
AACAACGCCCUUCGGGGCUCCUUGGUGAAUCAUAAUAACUUAACGAAUCGCAUGGCCUUGCGCCGGCGAUGGUUCAUUCAAAUUUCUGCCCUAUCAACUUUCGAUGGUAGGAUAGUGGCCUACCAUGGUGGCAACGGGUAACGGGGAAUUAGGGUUCGAUUCCGGAGAGGGAGCCUGAGAAACGGCUACCACAUCCAAGGAAGGCAGCAGGCGCGCAAAUUACCCAAUCCCGAUACGGGGAGGUAGUGACAAUAAAUACUGAUACGGGGCUCUUUUGGGUCUCGUAAUUGGAAUGAGAACAAUUUAAAUCCCUUAACGAGGAACAAUUGGAGGGCAAGUCUGGUGCCAGCAGCCGCGGUAAUUCCAGCUCCAAUAGCGUAUAUUAAAGUUGUUGCAGUUAAAAAGCUCGUAGUUGAACCUUGGGUCUGGCUGGCCGGUCCGCCUCACCGCGAGUACUGGUCCGGCUGGACCUUUCCUUCUGGGGAACCUCAUGGCCUUCACUGGCUGUGGGGGGAACCAGGACUUUUACUGUGAAAAAAUUAGAGUGUUCAAAGCAGGCCUUUGCUCGAAUACAUUAGCAUGGAAUAAUAGAAUAGGACGUGCGGUUCUAUUUUGUUGGUUUCUAGGACCGCCGUAAUGAUUAAUAAGGGAUAGUCGGGGGGCGUCAGUAUUCANCCUGUCAAAGUGAAAUUCUUGGAUUUCCUGAAGAACUAACUACCUGCGAAAAGCAUUCGCCCAAGGGAUGUUUUUCAUUUAAUCAGGGGAACGAAAAANUUUAGGGGGGAUCC